AUGCGCACAAGCUGAUGGAAAAGAGUUUGAAUGACAGCUAAAGGUAACGGUCCUCACCUGUGAAUCGUUUGUCUGUAAUCAAUGUGUGCACAAAAGGUUUUGUAGUGUCUGGGCUCCUAACAGACCCUAGCAUCCUUCAUCCAGUGCUGCACUGACAUUUUUGGAUCAUGAGUCAUGGGAAAACUAAAAAGCUGUCAAAAGAUCUACAGGAAAAGACUUGUGUGUACCUGAACAAAGCAGCAGCAGCACAGACCGCCUGGGUGGCUACCUGCAGGCUGGGGGAGGAGACUCCAGCUGACACAACCUCUGCAACUACUGCAAACCCAGAGCCACUGGGGAACAGGUGCAAACCCGGAGGCUGUCUGUCCAGAAUGAAAAAAGAAACGGAGCACUUCUUUGAAUCAAAAGAGCAAACAUUUUGAAGAUUAAUCAGUACAAACACAAUUUAAAAAAAGGUUUUCAUAGAUCCCUCUAAAUUUACUGUUGUAAAAUGUGUGUUACUCUAACAGAUAUGAUCAUGUGGGAACAAAAGAAGGCACAGAAAAUUGUUUUUUAAUAUCGUUCUAUAUGUCCUAUAGCUGGUCAGGAGGGCUGAUUUUAUUUAUUUUUUUGUCCUGGGUUCUCCACUUCACUGUUGAGGAGGUGGGUGAGAGGAAGAUGUUGGCAAAUUUAAAAUCCAUCUUGAACGACACCAUUCACCCCUACAUCAGACUGUGGAGGCGCUGAGUAGCUCCUUCAGAAUGUUACACUCUUCAUGCACGAAGGAGCGCAGGUCUUUCUUUCCAACUGCUGCGAGACUGCACAACUGUCUAACUAUACAUGCAAAUAAUGAUUUUUUUUUUCUCUUGACAUUACAAUCCCUGCACUACUUUUUCUGAUAAAGAUUUUUUUAUUAAUGUGUGUAUAUUACAAAUAAUCGUAGAUGUUUAAAAAAAAAAUUAAUGUCAAUUUUUUUUGCACAUUUUAAGUUUACAUUCUUUGUACUGUGAUGUUUGAACGAGGAAAUCUUGUAACAAUUGAAUUUCCCCACAGUGGAAUCAGUAAACAUUAUCUCAUUAAAAAAAA